rnacentral:rRNA from 1 species
AAAAUGUAACGGAGGCGCCCAAAGGUUCCCUCAGCCUGGUUGGCAAUCAGGUGUCGAGUGCAAGUGCACAAGGGAGCUUGACUGUGAGAGUGGCAGCUCGAGCAGGGACGAAAGUCGGGACUAGUGAUCCGGCGGCUCGUUGUGGAACGGCCGUCGCUCAACGGAUAAAAGGUACCUCGGGGAUAACAGGCUGAUCUUGCCCAAGAGUCCAUAUCGACGGCAUGGUUUGGCACCUCGAUGUCGGCUCGUCGCAUCCUGGGGCUGGAGUAGGUCCCAAGGGUUGGGCUGUUCGCCCAUUAAAGCGGUACGCGAGCUGGGUUCAGAACGUCGUGAGACAGUUCGGUCCCUAUCCUCUGCGCGCGUUGGAAAUUUGAGAAGGUCUGUCCUUAGUACGAGAGGACCGGGACGGACGAACCUCUGGUAUGUCAGUUGUACCGCCAGGUGCAUGGCUGAUUAGCUACGUUCGGGAUGGAUAACCGCUGAAAGCAUCUAAGCGGGAAGCCGGCUUCGAGAUAAGAUUUCCUUGCCCCUUUGAGGGUGUGAGGCCCCCAGCUAGAACACUGGGUUGAUAGGCUGGAUGUGGAAGCGAGGACUGAAGACUCGUGAAGCUGACCAGUACUAAUAGGCCGAUGACUUACACACA